GAGAGCAGGCAGCAGUCUCUUGUGCAGACUCAGUGGUGGGCCAGAGUCCCUUUGUCGUAAAUUAAGAAAAUGCUGUUACAGAAAAGUUUCUAAACAUUUUAUUUUGAAACAAGACUGCAGAAGGAACAAAACCAAACCCCAAAACUGAGGUAGGUGGGUGGAGAAUCUCUCCUAAAUUUUAAAUACAGAACUCUUAUUGAGGGGGGAGUAGGAGGUUGUGAAUAAUUUAUUGACUUAGUUUUUAAAGAUUUUAUGUAUUUGAGAGAGAGAGAGCGAGCGAGUGCAGGGGGUGGGGGGGCAGAAGGAGAGAGAGAAUAUCCAGCAGACUCCUGCCUGAGUGCAGAGCCCGACGUGGGGCUCAAUCUCAAGACCCCAAGAUCACAGCUUGAGCCGAAACCAAGAGUCAGGCACCCAACCGACUGAGCCACCCGGGAGCCCCUGGCUUAUUUUUAAUAGUAGCCUCGUCUGUUUAGUGCUGGUCUAAGUAGAUGCAUUUGGGCAUGAGUACCCUUUCCUAGUGCUUUUUUCUCUUUCUUUGGGACUCACUGUGGUUUUGUGGGAAGAGAGAGGGCCAUGUUUUUGGAUAAUCCGGAGUUGUUAAUCCCAACUCCCUCCCGAGCUGUGCGACCUGGUUACUUAACCUCCCAGGACUGUGUUGUGGUCCUCCCUGGCCCGCUGGAAGUGACAGUGAGCACCUUGCCGGCUUCUGGUCAGAAUGAAGAUACCUGGCUCAGGCGCGCGACUGCUGUUCCGUCCAUGAGGCUCUACUCGGGAGCAGAGAGAUUCCCUGGAUGUGGCGCUUUCGCCUCCAGUGGAGGGACGCAGGCCAGGGAGUGGGUGAGGGCCUCACCCUGAGUGGCGGGAGUCACAUAGUCUCAGCCUUUUGGGACGGUGCAUUUGGAUCGGGAGUCACAGGCGAGAUCUGAUUCAGUAGAUGGUAGGUUAGGAGGCUCUCUGUGUAGACCCUGGAUCUCCAUGCAGGGGUGAGAUUGGGGCGAGGGGUCCCGUGAGCCCUUUGUGCGCUGCCCCCCCGUUCUUCAGUGGAUGGACUGCACGGGAGGAACCUCUCAUUUCUCGGGCCCGGAUCUCUCAGGCCGUGCCCACGGUCCCUGCUCCGACAUGGAGGUCGGUGACGUCACUUCGGUGAAGGCUCAUCGAGAUUUCCUGCUGCUUCGAGCUCAGCCGGCACUUCACCAGGGAGACCCGGGGCCCUGCUGCCUGGUGACCGACUCCCUGUGAUUUUGGGUAGCCGUCCCCAGGCUCGGAGGCACUGGGGAAGCUGCCUCAGUUUCUGGUCUUAGACUUCUUAGGGCUGAGUCGCAGCGGCAGGAGUUGUUGCGAUGAAUUGUGCGGACUUUGUGUUGAGUCCCAAGUGAAGCAGCAGUGACUGCAGCUGGAACAGUAACUGGGCUCCCGGGAGGUGUCGUGGAACCACGUGGCGCUGACGCCGUGGUCUGUCGCAAGGGGCUGCGAGCCCAGCGGGACGUCGGGGUGACACUUGGGCACUUGGAUGGGUCAUCUGAAUUCUGCUCAGCACAUUUUCCCCUGCCUGGAGGCUUUGGAGCAGGAGGCAGUGAGGUGGUGUGGUUAGUGCCUGGACUCCGGUGCUAGCCUGCCUCGGUGUGAAUCGGGCUGUGUGAUCCUCAGUAUGACAUCAACCUCUCUGGGCCUCAGCUUUCUCAUCUCUGAUGGAACAGGAUCUCUCCCGAAAGGGUUGGGGUCUUAAAUGAAUGAACAUAUGUAAAGCAGACAGUAUAGGGCCUGAGGAUUAAGGGAGGUAAAGCCCUUGGCACAAACGAAGGGCCCAAUAAAUGUGAGCUCAUGUUGUCGGACCCUUGUUCCUAUUAAUGAAGCCUGCCCUGCACUGUUCUCCCUCCGCAUCCCCAUAGCAGCCUGCGGCCAGUCCUGCUCACAGUUCUUGCCACAUGGAGGGAACCUGGCUGCUCGCCUGUGGCUCUGGGGCCUCCUGAGGGUAGGACCCCGGGUCUGGGUCCUUUCUGCUUCCACAGUAUCUAGUGCGGUGUCUAGCUGCCUGGUGGAGGUGCUUAGGAGACAGUGACCGGGUGUGACUUCGGCUGAUUCGGGUAGCUGGGAGAGCACAAGGGCUUCUCUCAUGCUGUCUAGACUUCAGAAUCGGAAGAGGGGGUGCCAUAAGGUUAUUAAGCACCUCCCGUGCACAGCAUCUUCUGUCGGCCAGAGCCUAGCCGUGGACGUGGCGGAUGGACCGCAGGUCCUCCAGAGCCUGGGCUCCAGGCGAGGAGGCAGGAUAGAACCUCUUGCAGGACCAAUAGCCGUAGAAACCUAGAGCAACAGUGAAAGCAUGAGUAGGUGAGUCAGUGCCCAGAAGGAGGCCAGGCAGGGGAAAGUGAAGGGCUGCCCUCGAGGAUUCUGGAGGGCUUCCUGGAAGAGGUGGCCGGCCUGACCUUUUGACAGAGAGGAAUGAAAAAGUUGCCCCUUAUGAUGGCUGUGCCUGGUCAGUUGCCUGGAGCUGCGUUCAAGGAUUUCCGGAACCUUAUGGAUUUACAGUGAUACUCAGCAGCCUGGGGAAUGACGGUGGAGGAAGCGUUCUCUGCAGUCAUGUGCACGCGGCACACGUUUGGAUGCUAACGGCAGUUUUAAGGAAGGCCCUGGCUGCGUACCUGGCGGAUCCCUGCAGCCUGGACGCCCGUGGGGGACGGAGGACCGCGGCUUCCUGUGACGGCUGAGUUCUCUGCCUUUAUCUCCGCAUGAGUGAUUGGUUGGGUGGCUGCCAGCCUCACCGAGGGUGCCCUGUGAAAUACUCCUGUCUUACCUCAGAUUUCGGUGCUGUCAGUCUGAAAAACAGACGUCCAUUUGGUACUCUAGAUGGACUGUCCUUCCCUGACCUAAAGCUGGGCCAUUUGGAGAUUUGGAGAACAAAGGUUGUCGGGCUGCGAUUGUAGCCGAGUCCUGAGCUCCUGUGGAGAUUUGCCUCUCUCCAGCCUUGGGCUAUCUGCAUUCUUGAACAGCUCAGGACCCAGAAGGAAAAGAAGAAUGCUGACCCGCUCUGGGGUGGCCUGAAUGAAGAGAGGUGAGAGAACUGCUCAGAAAUGUUAAGUAACGCAGCAGCAGUCACACAGCUAAGGGACACACAGGAACGUCCCAAGUGGCGAAGGUCAUUUUCCAUCACUGCCAUCCUCCACGAGCCUGUGUCUGGAAUGGGACUUGUCUUUGCUCUGAUGAACAGGUUGGAUGGAGACUGGAAAACACUAGACAGAGGUAAUAUGGACCCAGAGAGAACUGAAUCCUUGUGCCCAGUGACUAGAAGAUGCAUGAACCUGGAAAAAGGAGCCUAGAAGAUCGCUAUGCUUCCCCCACAUAGGAGAACACCCACCCCUUCCCGCCUCUUGCCCGUAACACAUGAUAUAUUUAGCAGUGAUCGAUCACUACUGAGCUAUCUUCAUUUAAUGUGGUUUUGCAGAACAGUUGGUCUGGAAAUUUUAUUUUCAAUUAAACUUCCUUGUUGAA